UACGUAGGGUGCGAGCGUUAAUCGGAAUUACUGGGCGUAAAGCGUGCGCAGGCGGUUUGCUAAGACCGAUGUGAAAUCCCCGGGCUCAACCUGGGAACUGCAUUGGUGACUGGCAGGCUAGAGUAUGGCAGAGGGGGGUAGAAUUCCACGUGUAGCAGUGAAAUGCGUAGAGAUGUGGAGGAAUACCGAUGGCGAAGGCAAUCCCCUGGGCCUGUACUGACGCUCAUGCACGAAAGCGUGGGGAGCAAACAGG
rnacentral:rRNA from 1 species